rfam:Microgenomates (Woesebacteria) bacterium GW2011_GWC2_31_9 TR21_C0007, whole genome shotgun sequence.
CUAACUCUGUGGAUUUUUAAAAAUUGGUGCAGAGUACUGAUAGUAAUAUCGGUAGAGAAAACUUCGCUAUAUGCUGGAACAUUUUGUAAACAGAUAGAUACUAACAUUAUCAAAGGAUGAUGACAGUGAAAAUUUUAUCUGAAACCCUAAAAAACAAGCGGUUUGUAUGUGGGUUACAAAACUAUCAGCAGGUAACCUUUUUGAGAAAUCAAAAUGGGCACCUCAGAGACUACACGCGAAGCUCCGUUAGAUAUAUAAUUAUCUAAUCGGAUGAUGAUAUAGUCCACGCUAUUUAUGUCAGAUAUAA